AGGCCUUAAAUUACUCUAGCAGCACAUCAUGGUUUGCAUGCUCUAGCAAAAAUGCGAAUCAUUAUUUGCUGCUUUGGAAAUUUAAGGAA
rnacentral:pre_miRNA from 1 species